UUGACAUGAUAUGGCCUUGUUGGAAAUCAGAUACCCCGUCAUUUCUCUGCUGAAAAGCUGCCGUUUCCAUCUUUUAAAGUGCGUCUUAAAUGCAGGUUCUUGAACAUACUGAAUAAACUCGUAUUCUUUUCCUUCCCAGCCGCCUGCGGCCUGUGAGGACAAGCAGCAGCAGCAGCAGCAGCAGCAGGAGAGCGCCAUGGAGGAACUGAAAGGCAUCCUGGUAAAAGGAUCUAACAUCAGCUUUGAUAAAGAGGUGUGGUCUGAGGGGACGGUCUGCUUCCAGAUGAGUUUAAAACUCCAUACAGGAGCUUUAAUAAGUUAAUAUUAUUGCCUUUUAGCUCUUUAAACACCACAUCAGCGCUGUCAGGAUAUUACUGUGUCCACAGAAACCAUCUUUCCUUUACACUGGCGACAUGAAACUGCAUUCGCCACAUUUCAGAAGUAGCGCGCUUCAAAAUAAAAGCUCAUAUCACAGGACAGAAUAAAAUACCAAAAUAAAAGCAUGACAAACAAAUGUUAAAUAAUAUCUUCAGUCAGAUAGCUGAUGAUGGAUCAUAAAUCUGAAUAUUUUUAGACAUGAAUAAAAACAUGCUCCACUCUCGGUUUUACUGAUGGAGAUGUUUUAUUUAUCGUCAAGUUUUCCAUGACAGGAAAAUCUGAUAUUAUGUCAGCCCUACCAGGGGUCUCACCUCCAUCGAUAAAUCCAGCUGCAGGUGCAAGAACAAGUAAAUUCAUUAGUUAAAAUAGGUCAGAUUAUCCAGGUUUACACAACCGUUAACAUGUGGAUAAAAAAUAAUCUUAAUCUUAAUCUGUGUUGGCGGACAGUCAAGUCUCUGCAGUGACGGUUGUGUUUUCCCGCAGGAGACGGUGAAGCGCAGUCCCAGCCGAGGAUCUCAGGAGUCAGGGCCGUCACCGCCCGGGAAGAAGGACAGCGAGCUGGAGGUCAUCCUGAGACGCCGGCGUAACAAGACGGGAGAGGCUGGCUCCGGAGGUAAACACUGACGAGGAGGACGAUAAAAGCCUCAUGGUCUCAUCUUCUUUUCUUUUUGUUUUGAACUAAAUCUGUUUUUUAUCUUUACAACAACGAAAACUAAAGUGGGUUCAUGAACAUUUUUGGAGUUUUAAUCUACCUCUUAAAGUUGUAAAAAUGUGUUGUCAAAUCACUGAUUCAGUUAAAAUUAAGACAAUAUUCCUUUACAGGAACAAGACUGGCUUUGAAAGAUUUCCUCGAGUCAUGCUAACCUUCAUA